UACAGAGGUCCCAAGCGUUGUUCGGAUUCACUGGGCGUAAAGGGUGCGCAGGCGGUCGGGUAAGUCUGACGUGAAAUCUUCAAGCUCAACUUGGAAACUGCGUCGGAUACUAUUCGGCUCGAGGAAUGGAGGGGAGACUGGAAUUCUCGGUGUAGCAGUGAAAUGCGUAGAUAUCGAGAGGAACACCAGUGGCGAAGGCGAGUCUCUGGACAUUUCCUGACGCUGAGGCACGAAAGCCAGGGGAGCAAACGGG
rnacentral:rRNA from 1 species